UGGUAAACCAUGAUCGUUGUUUUGUGAGUUUCGCAAUUAUUUUAUAAAGGCUGGCAAAGUUGACAAUCAGAAGUUCACAUUUCUUUCUUUUUUUUUGAGGAAGAUCAGUGCUGAGCUAACAUCUGCCGCCAAUCCUCCCCUUUUUGCUGAAGAAGACUGGUUCUAAGCUAACACCCAUGCCCAUCUUCCUCCACCUUAUAUGCAGGAUGCCUAUGACAGCAUGGCUUGUCCACACCUGUGAUCAGAACCCUUGAACCACGAGGCUGCCGAAGCGGAAUGUGCAAACGUGUGCGCUGUGCCACCAGGCCAGUCCCAGAAGUUCACAUUUCUGUACAGCAAAAACAUAUUCAGAUAUAAAUGUGGUCAUAUACUGACUAAGUCAUGCUCAAGGACAGUUUCCAGGAGAGCUUCCCUCAGGAGUCCUUGCCAGGAUGAUACCAGAAUCAAAAGCAAACUCUGAAAACUGAUGCUCAGGAAAAAAGUAUCUGUGGCAAGAACACUGUCCAGAAAUCUGUAACAGAGGAACAUUCCAUUGUGACAAUGCAGGACUUCAGCUGCUGUGAUACCCAUGGUUGGAACGGUCCGGCUUCAAAACAUGAUUUGAUGAAUUCUUGAUUUCCCUUUCUGACUUUCUGACUUCUAUGUCUCAGUGUCU
rnacentral:lncRNA from 1 species